rnacentral:rRNA from 1 species
AAUGAAAGCUGGCGGCGUGCCUAACACAUGCACGUCGUACGAGAAAGGGGCUCCGGCCCUGAGUAGAGUGGCGCACGGGUGAGUAACGCGUGGGUAAUCUGCCCUUGGAUUUGGAAUAACUCCGCGAAAGUGGAGCUAAUACCGGAUAGUCUGGCUUUUUAACGAAGUCGGGAAAGGAUGCCUUUGCAUAUGCAUUCGUCCGAGGAUGAGCCCGCGUCUCAUUAGCUAGUUGGUAGGGUAAUGGCCUACCAAGGCAACGAUGAGUAGCUGGUCUGAUACGAUGAUCAGCCACCCUGGAACUGAAACACGGUCCAGACUCCUACGGAAGGCAGCAGUGGGGAAUAUUGCGCAAUGGGCGAAAGCCUGACGCAGCAACGCCGUGUGAGGGAUGAAGGCUUUCGGGUCGUAAACCUCUGUCAGAAGGGAAGAACGGGCAUUGGUCUAAUAGGCCUUUGUUUUGACGGUACCUUCAGAGGAAGCACCGGCUAACUCCGUGCCAGCCGCCGCCGUAACAC